rnacentral:lncRNA from 1 species
AUACUUUCUCUUUCAAAAACAGAAAACCUCUCUCUCCCCCCUCUCUUCCCACUCUUUUUCUUUCUCCCAAACUGGCCCCUCGCCAGUCCAUCGCUCGUCGGCCUCACGUCGUCGAUCUACCAAUCGCCACCUAGCCCCUCGACGGUCUUCUCCUCAUCCUCAAUCUUCUAGUGACCGGUGCCUCCUCCAGCAGUCGAUUGAUCGGCUUGAGCCAGUCGCUUGUUCUGCGAGUUGAAGAAAAUGGCUACCGAGCCGGUCCAGCGACCUAGAUUGACGGCGUGAGCCACACUGAUCUCUCCCCAACUUCAUACCUAGCCUCACCAUGGUUGGGGAUUAGCAGCUCAACCACCAGAUUAACUCUGCUAGUUUGUUCUAUUCCAACGCAUCCAAGGCCGAUUCAAUUAGGACUAGUUCUAUCCAAGGUGAACUGGCGGUCCAACUGGUCCCUAGCCAAUCCCUAGGCGAUCCGAUCCAUCCCUCAAAGUUCCGAUCACGUUCUGGUGACGUUGAUUUUUUCCGAUCGCGCUUUGUUCUGAAGGAAAACGCAAAAGGUAGAUGUUUUAACCUUGAAUCCGAUAAGGUAAGCAACGUAACCGAUUGGGGCUAGUAUUCAAGUUUAGAUUUGUAUAAUAUGCUUAGAUCUAAGAUUGAUGAUGUGAUUGAAUAAUCUACUGAAGAUUGAUGUUCAUUGAAGAUAAACUUGAGUUUGUUUGAAUGUGGGUAGUGUUAAUAUGCAAUUCCGUACUUCUAUUGUAUGCUUAUUGUUUUGGUUGAGACGAGGUACUAUAUGAACUUUUCUGACCUCGAACCCUUCUAUGUGUAAAAAAUAGACUUCCUGAGCUUCAAUUUGAUAAGUCACGCAUCCUGAAAAAAUGUCAUUUGGUCAUCAAAAAAUACCUCCGAAAUCAGUCGAUUCUGCAGUAGUUAUAGGUAGAUUUGAAGUUCUGACUUUGUUUUGAUUUUCUAUAUUAUUGUUUUCAUACUGAUUUCUAUGAGCAGAAUCUGGAAAAACUUUCUUCACGAGAUUUAUGCAAAAUGGUCAAUGAUGUUCGCAUUAGUUUAGGGGCUUAUCAUGAGCAUACUAAAACCCAUUCAUUAUGGUCUGUUAAAGACCAAACUAUGCAUUAAUGCCUUCUCGACAUUUGAAGUGUGUGUUACGAGUUUCACAUCUAUAUAUGACAUGUCAUAAUUGAACUUUAUUUGGUAUGUAAACAUCAUGCAUCAAUUAGGCUAAUUGCAAUUGAAGUUCAUUGGAUGUGUCAUUCCUAGUUCUAAAUCAUUUUGCAAUAUUGAUGGAUCAUGUGAUUUCUUUGCAUCCCGUCCUAGGGUUAAACGUUUUACCCAAAUCAUUGUUGCAUUCAAUCAUUCGUCGUAUGCAAGUUUCAUACCAUUCAUGUAUUGUUUAAAUGGUCUUUUGAACUAUUAAACAUAUACCAUAUUUUGUUUUGUAAAUGGCUGAUUCACAUACCUUCACGAACAUCAAUUUUUGACCCUCAAUUCAACCUUGAUUGAACUUGGACCCUUCUAGCAAGUUUUAGGACUUAUCUAAAUAUUUUUAAUGCCCCUAAUUUUUGCGCGAUUUGCUUAUCAUUUGACCCCGUUUCCUUUUUUUCCAAGUUAGGUUAGAAAUCUUACUUAGGUUAAAUUCGGAACCCCUGUUUUAUCCCUAUUUAGUCUGACUUUCGUUAUUUUUGUAUAAUUUUUUUAGUUAGAGAUUCUUAAGCCGGACCCUUCACAAACUUUGUUUGUUACUCUUUUGAGUACGUUGUGGUGAAACUUCAUAUUUUUUAGAGCCCAUUUACUAGGUCAAAUCUCUGUUGUUGUGUCAUGUUGUCCUGUUGUUCCGCUGAAUUUCUAAUGCGGUUUUGAACUUCAUUGAAUUUUUAUAAAUGUCUAUGUGGCUUGUUUCAGAAAAAUUCCUUCCCCUCGAUGUCGUGCACAUUGUGUAAUUUUCUUGGAACAAUUUGUCCGUGGGUCCAUUGCCAAUUGCGUUGAUUUUGUUCAUCUGUUCUAUGACGUCUUAUUGUAAAUCUUUGUUGUGAUUUUUUUUUUCAAGAUCCUUUAGGAAAAUUUGCAUGUUGAAAUAGGAUUAAUCACUUUCAUGAAGUUUGUUCCAAGUUUCUCAAUCUUCGUUGUUGGAAAUUUUUUGAAAAAAAAACUAAAAAGGUCUUUUAUCGACACUUUUUUUUUUCCAAAUUUGAAGUGAAAUGUCGAUUUUUCAUGUGGAAAUUAUUUUAAUACAUGUGAUGCUUCCAAUAUCAAUUGUUUAGCAUCUCUUGGAACUUCCGAUUUGAGGUUGAUCCUAUUGAAGCUUGGAUCGUAUUUAAAAUGCCUAUGACAUUUGUUAGCAGUGCAAUAUGCACCGCAGACUAACUUUGGCAAUCAAAUGCACUCCAUAGCCCAAAUGAGAUCAUACCUCACAUUCAACACUUUUUGUCAAAAUAUUUCAUCAUGAUGUUUUAAACACAUUCAAAGCCUCUUGAAGCAUCACAUGUAUCACAAAUGCAUAAUAAUAUUUCAUUUUUUAGAGAUGCCUAUGAUUGUGUUUGGCUCCUAUUGUCUAAAUAAGUGAUCCAAUGCUAGCUUACUAAAAAUCGUUUGAUUGUUUGGGAAAUAAAGCCAGUGGGUCUACCUGCAUGUUUAAUUCCUACUAAUGCCUUUGAAUUUUAUAUGUAUAUUUAGGUAUGAUGUCUAAUCUGUGGGGUAACUUUGGGAUUCAUUUAGAACAUGUCGUAGGGACUUAUAAGCGUUAGUGACCACACGAGAACACAAAUGGUCACCAAUAGCUGUAAAUCAUGAAAAUGGAUUGAGUAGGUGUCUAAAAGGACCAAUGCAUGAUUUGCAAAGGCCAAUCCCGAGACCCAACUUGAUUGACUUUGAAUCCCGUUUCAACUACUUGAUUCUUUUUUUUUGUUUAAUAAUUGUGGUUGUUUUUGGCAUGAGCGGUUGUUUAUUUCCUAUUGUAUCCUAUUGUAUGUACCUUGUCUUAGUUUCUUUAGAUUAGGAUUAAUAUAGGUCCUUGGAGGUGGAGGUCCCUCAAGACUUGAGGACAAUGGGAGGUCGAUAUGCAUUCCAACCUAGUUUUGUAUUCAUUUUUACCCGAUAUAUGUUUCGAGUCAUUUUGCAUUGUGUAAACACCUGAUGAAGUACGGGUUUUAUUCUGUCCGCUUUAUUUUUGCCUAUCACCUAGGGUUGCAUGUUAGAUUUAUUUCUUUCCCUAUAACAAUUCACUUGAUUGUUUGCUUUCUCUCUCAUCUUUAAAUUUCAAUUGUUUGCUUUCUUUUUUCUUUCUUACAAAUAGAAAUUGCAUGAAAAUAGCCAUCCAUGCAUGGUCACUUAGGUAGUUUUAACGACCCAAAAAAGUAAAAGGAAAUGUUUGGACACCUUAGGAAAUAUGACAAACUAUUACGUAUUGAAAGGGUGCUCAUAGAAAUAUUAGCAUAACCUGAGUCCUCAAAUCUAAAAUCUCUAGUUGCAUAAGAAUCGAGGGACCACUUUCAACCCUCAAUUGGGAUUUUUAGCCGACCACAAAAACAAGGCUAGUGGUGACUCCCGUUCUUCUUAGGUUGUUUUAAAUAACUAAAUAAUAAAAUUAACCCAUUGCAAAGGGUAAGUGACACAGAGAAAGUUACGCUUGGAAAGAAUUCCAAAAGAUAGUUUUUAUUUUGAAUCAAGAAGUGCGGAUUACAAUAUCUUAGGCCCCUAUUUAUAAGGAGGUCAACAUCUAGAAAAUAACCAAAUCAGUGAAAUCUAAUAACAAAAUUAAAAAGAUAUCGAUAAACCAAAAUAUCUGAAAUCUAAUAACAAAUUAAGGAAAAUGCAUGAAUCAAAUAUUGUAACCCAUUUGUAAUCUUGAAGAUCACGCAAUACUCUUUGAUUUGUGGAACCGCCUGCUAUUAUGACACUCCAAUGUUUCCAUAUAAGCAUUUGCAUGUCGUCCUACAUCAAUCUCCUCCACUUUAGAAGAACUCGACCCCGAGUUAUGAUUAGGAUAAAC